rnacentral:rRNA from 1 species
UACAUGGGGUGCAAACGUUGCUCGGAAUUAUUGGGCGUAAAGCGCACGUAGGCGGUUUGUUAAGUCGGAUGUGAAAUCCCUCGGCUCAACUGAGGAAGUGCAUCCGAAACUGGCAGGCUUGAGUACUAAAGAGGGUCGCGGAAUUCCCGGUGUAGAGGUGAAAUGCGUAGAUAUCUGGAGGAACACCGGUGGCGAAGGCGGCGUCCUGGACCAAUACUGACACUGAGGAGCGAAAGCCAGGGGAGCAAACGGG